UUCGUAGGCGGUGCGGCAAGUCGGGAGUGAAAUCUCUGGGCUUAACUCAGAGGCUGCUCUCGAAACUGCCGUGCUCGAGUGCGGGAGAGGCGAGUGGAAUUGCAGGUGUAGCGGUGAAAUGCGUAGAUAUCUGCAGGAACACCCGUGGCGAAGGCGGCUCGCUGGACCGCAACUGACGCUGAGGAACGAAAGCUAGGGGAGCAAACAGGAUUAGAUACCCUGGUAGUCCUAGCCCUAAACCAUCAGGACUUGGGGUGGCCCGCGUAGGCGGGUCGUCCCGCAGCUAACGCGUUAAGUCCUGCGCCCGGGAGUACGGUCGCAAGACUGAA
rnacentral:rRNA from 1 species